rnacentral:lncRNA from 1 species
AAACAAACAAAAAAACCUGUAAAUAACUAGGCAGAGGCUCAUUCAAAGAGAGAGAGCCUGAAGUCCAAAGAAGCGAUUUACUCAAAGCCUUAGCAUCAAUACAUUGAGAACAAGAACCCCCGGGUGCCUCGCGACAGCUUAACAAGACUUGAAUUGGCGAAGACUCUUCCAUAGUGAACAGUGGGUAACACACUUAAGGGUCACUUAUGUGGGGUGCUCAAGGACACAGGGCCAGAACUAGCAGCUCUGCAGUCUCAGGUCUGGUAAACUGAGGCCACAGCACUGCAGAGGUCAAGAGCUGAAGCUCCUGAGCCGGUCUGCCCAGGGUGGAAUCGCAACUCCUGCCCUUCUAGUGGUGUGAUUUCGGAGUUGCUCAGUCUUCCUAUGACUCCUCAGAUUCCUCAAUUAUAAAACAAGGACUGUCAAAAUAAGGGAUGCUGUGAGAAUUCAAAGAGUUAACGUAACAAGAAGUGUCCGAUCAGCAAGGUGGCACCAAAGCAAGCACUCAAAAAACAACAACAAAAAAGUUAUUAAAACACCACACAGACCAACUGACCACGCACACAGAGCCAAUUUCUUAAGACGGCCAAACUUGGCUAGUUUGGAUCACCAGACAACCUGAGAGGUGGAAUUAGGGAUUCUCUGGCAGGGCUGAAAGUCCAGGCCUGCAGUUCGGCGCUGAUGCGCACUAUGACCUGACCUUGGAAGCCUUUUCGCCCUUCAGGACAGAUCUCAGACGCAGGCUAGUCAGCGAGGAAACGCACCGCAAACGUGUGUGCGCCAGCCAGACUCUUUCGCGUUAUUUUUUUAUUCUGGGGGAGACUGGGUAAAAGCACUUGGCUCGAACGCCGCAGCUGUCAGGAGGGCACCCUUCUCUCCUGGCCUAGGGUUCUUUGCUAAUCUGCAGUCUCCCAAUGAGUCUCGGGAGGAUCUGCCUUCGAUUUCUGCACAGCGGCUCCGGAAAAUGAAGGCGGGCAGGAGACGCUCGCCUCGGAGGCUGGACUCGCUCCAGAGGCGGGACGACUCCACGAGACUCUCGGGGACCAGACAGAGCCGCGGGAGGCUCCCGGUGGCCUUGACCUUGGUGUCCGAGGCUCAGUUUUCCGUCCCCCCGGCUCGGGGUGGUGACACAGCCUGGCCUGGGCCAAAGCAGGUCCUGCUUCUGGAUGGUAACACACAUUGCUUGGAGAACUUCGGGGGCCCAAACUGGCAAAGAUUUGGAGCAGUGCGCUGAUGCACACCUUCUAAGAACUCCCUUUUCUAAUGGAACUUUGCCGCAGGCCACUUCCUUCACUUCAAAAGCCCAUCUCUCAGCUACCUUCCUAAGCAAACUGGAAACCACCCAGCUCUCUCACCCAACAUCCCAUUCUCUGGUCCAGGGAGUCUCCAGCUUUUUUUUUUUUCAGGCUUGUUUUACACACUGUUAUUGAAGACACCAAAGAGCUCUGGUUUAUGUGAGUGUGUUAAUCAAGAGUUAGGUACUGUAUUUGAAAUUAAAACAAAAAUUUAAAAAACAGCCACUAAGUUCAUUUAGAAAGAAUAAUAAACCUAUUACAGAUUAACAUAAAUCAUAUUUUUAAAAACAAGGAAUGGCUGAAUUUUCCAAAACAUUAGCAGUAAGAAUUAUUUUUAUAGUUUUGCAAAUUUCCCUUAAAAUCCAACUUUUAAGACCGCUGGAUGCUCCUGCUUCUGCAUUCUGUCUUGUGAGAUUACAUUAUGUAGCCUCUGCUAGAGAAGAGACUGGUUUUUUGGGGGAUGAGCUCUCUGAGAGAUGAUAGCUUUUUUUGAAAAUACUUUUGAUCUUGUGGAUAUACUGAAUGAACUUGGGAGUCCCUGGUACCCAUUUUGAGAACUGUGAUAUUGGUCAUUUCAGUGGUGACAGUGAGUCUCCAAAGGCCCGGAUGACAUUCCUCACUUCCUUCCUUCCCGUGUUGCCCUGCUGUUGACCUUUGCUAACCUGGUAGACUGAAGGGAUCCUCCUGCUUCAGGCUCCCGCAUGUCACCGUACCUGGCUUAACAUUUUUUAAUUUAAUCUUUCUUUUAGUUAUAAAAGCAACAUAGCUCUAUUAUGGCUAUCUACUAGUGAAUAGAACAUACACAUAUAUGCAGUUUUGUACAGUUAUCAUUAGAUUGUGUUUUACAAAUGAACACCGUGAUUCUGAACCCCACCCCUACUCCUGGAAGUGGGUAAGCUUUUCUCUUUCUAACGUCAAACAGCAGCAUCAUGUUCUACUGUGUAGAUAUAACACAAUUACUAAAUACCCAAUAUUGCACAUUUGAAUGCUUCCAAUUUCUUCUUGUAAUAAGUACAGUCCUGUGAAGAAUAUCUUCACACAUCUAGCUUUUUUGACAUUUAGUGCUAUUUCCUUAGAAUAGAUUCCCAGAAUUAAGAUUACUGGGUCAAAAGAUGCAGACAUUUUUAUAGCUUUUAAUACAUACUGUAAAAUUGCUUUUCAAAAGGGCUAUACUAAUUUACAAUGCCACCAACACUUUCAAGAAUGUUUCAGCACACAAAUCGUCAACCCAGGUGCCAUUAAGAAUGCUAAUCAAUAAAAUAUUGUACCCUAGUUGUUAAAAUUUGGCAUUUUUUUGAGGCUCAUAAAGUUAAAGUUUGUUGAAGAACGAGUGUACAAUACAAAACAUUCUUUGGGGACACCUUUAUUUCUGGGAAACCUAGGAAGUUCUCCCUGGCGAAGACCAGAAAAAAGAACACAUGUUGUUAGGAUUGGCACAAAAUCCACUUUGACAGUCAAUCUUAAUGCGAAGACACUUAACGACUUUUUCACUGGUUCUCUGCUUGUCGCUAAUAGUAGCAAACCAAACCAAAACAAAAAAAUCCCACAAAAAAACCAAACUGUAGAGGAAUGAAACGUUCUCACUGCAAACCAUACAAGAUCAGAGACGGUCGGAGCUCUGCUUUUCAUUCCAACUUUUCUUCUUUAAAAAAACCAGAAAACUUUGAGAUUUCAGCCUUCUCCUUUGUUCGAGAUUAGUUGCCCCUGUGCAAAUUCCGGAAUUUCUGGGUGGGGGCACUGCCUCGUGAGCGAGGCACCUGCACCCCGCAGGACUGGGGAGACGGGCGCGGGGAGGGUGCAGAUCCCCAGGCGUGGGCGCAGCCGGCCUCGGCCUGGAUCCCCUUCCCCGUCCGCCCAGCCCGCGCGCAGCGGGCACCGUGCCCUAUCUUCGGAGAAGCCCUGGGCGGCGGCGGGCACGAGGGAGGACGAACUCGUCUCGCCCGAUGCGCGGCCCGCGCGCGGAGGUUUCGCUCCGCGACCUCAUCCUGGGACAGGCGCCUAUGAGUCAUCGGCUCGGCGGUCACACGGGCAGCGUGACCAAAAUAAAGUUCCAGUAUUUUAAGCCGACGGAAAAAGGAACAGCGGAGCACACCGGGGGCGGGCGGGCCGNNNNNNNNNNNNNNNNNNNNNNNNNNNNNNNNNNNNNNNNNNNNNNNNNNNCCCCGGGAGCACGCGGGAAAAGCCCCAGAGCGCCAAUG